AAGAGAGUGCAAGAAAAACAAGAGACAAACAAACUAAAGGACCUCUUUUGACACACAGACUAUAUGGCUUCUUUUUUUUCUUGUUUCCUUCUUU
rnacentral:ribozyme from 11 species